GAGCUNGCAAUCCCAUAAACCGUGGCUCAGUUCAGAUCGUAGGCUGCAACUCGCCUACGUGAAGGAGGAAUCGCUAGUAAUCGCAGGUCAGCAUACUGCGGUGAAUACGUUCCCGGGCCUUGUACACACCGCCCGUCACACCAUGGAAGUUGGCCACGCCCGAAGUCGUUACUCCAACCCGCAAGGGAGGAGGAUGCCGAAGGUGGGGCUGAUGACUGGGGUGAAGUCGUAACAAGGUAGCCGUACCGGAAGGUGCGGCUGGAUCACCUCCUAACA
rnacentral:rRNA from 1 species